rnacentral:rRNA from 1 species
AAGGCCUACGGGAGGCAGCAGUAGGGAAUUUUCGUCAAUGGGCGCAAGCCUGAACGAGCAAUGCCGCGUGAACGAGGAAGGUCUUCGGAUCGUAAAGUUCUGUUGAAGGGGAAAAAGAGCGGAGAGAGGAAAUGGUCUCCGAUUGAUAUUACCCUUCGAGGAAGUCACGGCUAACUACGUGCCAGCAGCCGCGGUAAUACGUAGGUGGCGAGCGUUAUCCGGAAUGAUUGGGCGUAAAGGGUGCGUAGGCGGGUAAGCAAGUCAGAAGUGAAAUCCAUGGGCUUAACCCAUGAACUGCUUUUGAA